rnacentral:lncRNA from 1 species
AAAACCUUUUCAAAAUAAAAGAGAAAGUUGGAGUCGGUGGCCACCUACGGUGCCACUUAAGGAUCGCAGGUGGCACCUACGGUUCGUAGUUGGUAGGCUGUAGGUGCCAGGGUCUUCAAAACUCCUACAGGAUCUCUGAACUUCAACUUCUGGCACUUAGGGGUCGUAGCUGCCGCAUCGUAGGUAGCAGGGCCAAAAUUGCAACUUAUGAAUCCUUGAAACUCAACUCUCUGACACUUGUUCUGGCACCUACACCAUGUAGGUAGUACCUGCGGGCCGUAGCUGCCAACGCAGGUGGUCAAAAACUCCAAUUUUCACUUUUUUUCUCCUGUUUAGCUUGCAAAACCUGGUUUCCUGCAAAACAAAACACAUCAUAUCUAAUAACAUGGUCUAAGCAACUACAUGUUUUUGUAGUUUUAAGCAUCGAAAGUGCUAUGAAACCAUAGCACAUCAACGACCUUGUGUCAUAAAUCGUACUUGAAUAAAAAUACUGAAUUUUCUUAUUGGAGAAUUUCUUAUAACCGACAUAUAUCACGUGAGCUUACGAUAUCAAACCUUUGACCCGGUAGGGAGAGUUGUCUUAUACAUUGUCGGGGCAUAUGAUGUAGCUGAACCCUGGAUCUAUAUUGAGUCCUUCUCAAGAGCUUAAAGAGGAGUCAUUCGAACCAACGACAUAUCUUAUCCUACCCCGGUAUACGUAAUUUCGGGGCAUGUAUUAUCCGAACCCAUAUCCUUAUCUAUGUUAAUUAUUCUCCCACAAUAUAUAUAUGCUAAAUAUUGUAACCUCUUAAAGGUAAACUAUUAAUUAUACUCUGAAAGUCUUGGCUCAAAUUCAUAAUCAUGAAUAUAUACAAUUGGUGAGCCUCUACUCAAUAUCAUAUCGCGAAAAUAUACUAUUGCCAAUUGGUGAGCCUCUACUCAAUAUCACUUCAUGAAAAUAUGUCGCUGAUGAGCCUUCGCUCAAAAUCAUAUGCAAACAUGCUAGUUUGAGAUUAUAAGAUAAAUGACAUUUUCUUUCAAAAUCUAUCUACAUGCAUAGGAAAGAUCUGUAAACUUUCUUAAAAUAAAUUUUUAAAAUUGUAACUAAUUUUCAUAGAAAACAUAAGACAACUUAUGUAAAAUAUGACUAGGCUACAAAGCGAGAUAAAUUCAUAAGGUUUUUUUUUUGGUUGAACGAACACAUUUUAUUAUCUCAUUUAUUACCCGCUCUAUUUGGAGCUUACAUUUCAAGGAAAAUUCACUAGCACCUCAUCAGCCUCAUCUCGACCACACUACUAUUUUCUAGACUUUGAUCCUAUACAUUUGUUCUUUGUAUAUACUUUUCUAUCCAAGCUCUAUCUCUAUAGUUUACUCUCCCCUUAUCCGAUAAACAAAUCUACUUUUGCUCUCCUGUUGGAUUUUCCUGAUCACAUUUGCAGGCCUCGGAACCAUUUUGUUCCACAGUGCUUGAUUCCUUGCUUGCCGUAUGUGGUUUAUUACCGCUGCAAUUGUUGCCCAGAUGCUUCUACUGAUCUUGCGUACUGCCUUCCUUGCCAUGCUUUUCCAUAUAUUCUGCAGGUCUGUGUCACACAAUUUAAUGUUAAGCCACUCCAAGAUCCCUUCCAGGCAUAGUCUUGAGAAUUUACAUUCAAACAUUAAGUGUUCUAUUGAUUCCGGAGCUAGGUCGCACAGUAAACACUUGUCGCUUUGGCAUACUCCCAUUUUUACCAACCUGGUUCUUGUUAGCAGCCUUCCAUGCAUUGUCAACCAAUAAAUAAAGCUAUGUUUUGGCAUAUUUCUGCUAUUCCAGACGCCCCUACACCAAGGCCAUUCAUUAUUGGCCCUUAUCCUACAGCAGUAGCCACUAUGAAUGGUGUAUUUACCACGUACAGUUAUCCAAUGAUUCUGUAUGUAUCCUCCUCAAAAUCUCUCUUUAAUUGAACAUAUUUUCCUACAAUACCAUCAACAAUAUUGGGGUGGUUGAUAUUGCCACCAAUUUAGCCCCUUUAUGUAUACAUGAUCCACCUAUUUCACCCAUAGGUUAUCCGCUUUGCACGCCAUAUUCUGGACAUACUUUGCAAUUGCAGCCUCAUUCCACACAAUACUAUCAAUUAUGCUCAGUCCUCCCUCUUUUUUGGCUUUGCAUAACACAUCUCAUGCUACUAGAGGAGGUUUAUUUGUGUGUACUGCUCCACUCCAUAUGAAAUUCCUACAAACUGUUGUAAUUCCUUUUAACACCUUCUUUGGUAAUAAAAAGAUAGAAGACCAAUAUGUAUGUAUGUAUGUGUAUUAGUACUGAAUUGACUAAUUGUACCCUGCCAGAAUAGGAUAGGUUCCUGGUUCCCCAAGUUUUGAUUCGGCUGGUCAUCUUGUCCAAUAAGACUUCACAAUCCAUUGAUGUGAGAUUUUUUUGCAGAUAUAGGGACCCCUUGAUAUUUAAAUGGCAAUGCACCAGUAGUAUACCCAGUCAAUUUAUAUUCACCGAGAAUAUACUUGAUUUGCUAGCAUUUGUACACAAACCAGAUGCAUCCAAGAAUGUCUUCAAUCCACGAAGCAUAAGCACCACUGAUUCAAAUUCUCCUUUGCAGAAUAAAAGCAUAUCAUCUGCGAAACAUAGAUGGUUGAGUCUCAGACUUCUACACUUGGUAUGGAAUGUAAAUCCCUCUUGAUCAGCCACCCAAUCCAUCAUUCUUGAAAAACAUUUCAUACAGAGGACAAAAAUCAAAGGGGAUAUUGGGUCCCCUUGUCUCAGUGCUCUUUUCCCUUUUAUCACUCCAUAUACUCCACCAUUUUGGGCAAUGGUGUACUUCGUAGAUGUAAUGCACUCCAUUAAGAGUUUGAUGAACUUAACUGGGAAGUUCAAACCAUACAACAUCUCUUUUAUAAACUCCCAUUCGACUGUGUCAUAUGCUUUUCUUUGAUCAAUUUUAAUAAGGCAACUUUUUGUGGUGGCUUUCCUGUUAUACAGCCUUACCAAGUCCUGACAGAUAAGUAUAUUCUGAACUAUUGUUCUUCCUGUUACAAAGGCACUCUGUGUGUCUGAUAUAAUAUUAGGGAGCACCUUCUUCAGUCGAUUACGUAGCACUUUUGAUAUCACCUUGUACAGGGUAUUACAACAUGAAAUUGGUCUGUAAUUAGCUACUGUCCCUGCUUGAUGUCCUUUAGGAAUCAGAGUGAUCAUUGUAUCAUUUAAGCCUUGCAACAUCUGCCCCAUCUUAAAAAAUUCCUUGACCCCCGCCUCUACAUCUCUCCCUACUAUCUCUGAAGAAUUUGCUUCCAAAACCAUCAGGCCCCGGGGCUUUAUCGCCUUCAAUUACCCAUAAUGCUGAUUUAAUCUCCUCUUUAGUGACCUCUUGUACCAGCAUGCUACAUUGUUCAUCCAAUACCACAGCUCCUCUUCUAAUAAUUCUGCUGUUAGCUGGCUGCCUCCCAUUCAUUUUUGUGCCCAAUAGCUCUGUGUAAUAUUCAAUGAAAGCUCUACUUAUGUCAUCCAUGUUGGUUUUGACUUCCCCUCUAGUGUUCUUUAUAGCCAAAAUUCUAUUCUUGUUCCUUCUGGCCUUCAAAUACCUGUGAAACAGGGCAGUGUUCUGGUCCCCCUCUUGUAGCCACUUCACUUUGCAUUUUUGGUUCAGGUACUGAUGUUUUGCAUUUUGCAGCUGUUCACAUUGUUUAGCCAAUUACAUCUCUUCAUCAAACAAUUCUGUACUUGGUGAUUGUUGUAUUCUUACUUGACAAUUCAGCAAUUGUUCCAUUGCUAUGGCAGCCUUGUUUUCAAUAUCACUAAAUAUGUCCCUAUUAAGCUGUUUGAGGACAAAUUUUAGUCUGUUCAGUUUACCCACCACUUGGAACAUUCUCCUUCCUACUAUCCUUUUAUCCCAGUUACUCUUUAUUUUCUGUAGAAAGUCCGGUGCUAAGCUACACAUGUUAAAGUACAUGAAUUGCCUUGUUCUUGACAUAUUAUGUUUUUUCCAAUGAACCAGUACUGGGCAGUGGUCAUAUAACCCUUUUUGAAGGAUGCAAGCUGUUGAUACUGGCAGGUCUGAAACCCACUCAUCAUUCACUAGCACCCUAUCAAUUUUGCUAUAAACUUGAGCCACGCCUUGUUGUUUAUUACUCCAUGUAUAAAAAGAUCCUGUUGACCUGAGAUCCUGCAAGCCACAUUGUUCCACACACACUUUGAAAUCAAUUAUUUCUGCCAUAGUAACCGGUCUCCCUAUUCUUUCCUCCUUAUUCAAAACAAAAUUGAAAUCUCCAAGAACUACCCAUGGUCCAGUCGUUUGGCCACUAAUGGACAUAAUGUCAGCCCACAAGGAUCUCCUUAGAGCUUGAUCAUUAAAGCCAUAAAUCAUAGUCACAUGAAACCUUGUUCCAGUCACUUUGUCCUCAACCAAAAUAUGAAUUAAUUGAUCCGUUACACCUUUAAUAUUCACAAUAUAUACCUCUGGAUUCCACACCAUCCAUAUCCUAACCCCUUUAUGCAUACUCAAAUUAGUAGUGAACGACCAUCCUGCACAAAGAUUAAGAGAAGCACUAUGUGCUCAAUUUCUCUUAAUCUUUGUCUCUAGGAGAUCAAACAAGCUCACUUUAGAUUGAUACAGAAACAUCUGCAUCACUCUUUGUUUAGUAAGCUUGUUUAGUCCCCUUACAUUCCAACAUCCAAAACUAUCCAUUGGGGGGAGAUGUAUCUCCUCUCCUUACUUUCCCAGGGUUGCUACUAUUUACCUUAUUUCCCAUAUCUGCUACGUUUUCUGCUUCUCCCACCGUGUUCUCUAGUAAUUUACUAUACCUAUUGGUUGAGAUAGUUCUUGUUUCUGGUUCUUUUUUUUUUAUUUACUCGGAGAGCCUUGUCUUGGCCUCUCAUUCAACAUUUCUUUUUGCUUGUCCCCUGCUUGUUGAGCUGGUGGAGGACGUUCUUUUUUAUUCCCUUCAUCUUCUACGGGCUUCUUCGAUGCUUCCUUUCUCUGUUGUUUUCUACAUUGUGUCACCUCAUGACCACAAUUCUUCCAUUUCGAGCACAGUACUGGUUUCCACUCGUAAUCCACCAUCUGAUCAACAAUUCUCCCAUUUUCAUUUUCGAACAUUACUUCUGCUGGCUAUUCUUGAUCCAGUGGCAUCUCCACUAGUAUACGAGCAUAUGUCAUUCUCUCUUCAUUGGUCGUAGCACGAUCCGCCUUUAACGGUUUUCCAAUUAAUCCUGCAAUUUUUAUUAAAGCCCUCUUUCCCCAAUACUUUAUGUUUAAGCUUGGUAGUCUGAUCUACACAGGGACUGUUUUUACUGUCUCCUUUGUCACCUCCGUAUCCGGUGUCCAUGCCUUCACCACUAUUGGUUUGCGAUCAAACAUCACCACCCCUUCAUCUAUCACUUUUACUUUCUCUUCAUGAGUGGAGAAUCUGACCAAGAAUACCCCUCUAAUGCACUUGAACAAUUUAAUCAACUACUUUCCCCUUCCAGAUACGAUUGAAAUAUCCUUCCAUCACACUUUGGGGAGGGUUAGAUCCCAUCAUAUAGCAUAUCACUGCAUUACCCCAAAAUUCGCUUUCAUCCUGCACGUCUUCUAUAGUAAUUUUAACCCUUGGGCUAGGUGGGUCACUUCCCUGCAAAUCAAAGCCCUCCCUUGUUGAUCCACGGCUCACUAUCUGGCUCCACGUAUUCGGUGAUGGCGAUUUAGGGUUAGGUUUAUCAUCCAUCUUGUGAACUGUUGUUUCCUCCACUAUAUCCCCCCAUUUUGCCUUUCCUGUUGCGGAUGAACUAUGUGAACUCUCCCCUCUAAUAGUUACUCCUAUACUUCCAUAUUCAACUUGAAACGGAAGAAUCCCUUGCAAUAUAUUCACAUCUUUUGUCUUCCUUGCAUCUGCUGAUUGAGGAAUAGCCUUCGUUGAAUUAUUUGUGGGUUGAUCCCUAUUUUGGGUCUGUUGACCCCUCCCUCCGGUCUUCGUUUUCCUAACCAUUUCAGCAAUAGCUGAGAGGAAACGCCAGUUCUAGAAAGAGAAAGUCUUGUAUUCAAAUAAUGUUUUUCUUUUAUGAUAUAAUUUCAUAAGGUUUAAAACAGGAUCAAUGGAUAUGAAAUAGGAUGAAAAUCAAAACGUGAAUUUAACUUUUGAAACUUCUAAUUAUUUUCAUGGAGGAUUCAAAAAUUCUCUUCAAGAGAUAAGGAAGUUACACUUCAAGGAUUCAAUUCUAAAAUUCAAACUUGAUUCAUGAACGAACUAAAAUUAAAAACAUGCUUGCGGAGAAAAAUAGGGUUCACACAUUAAAAAUUAGUCUUGCAUAGGUUGAGAGAUGCUAGAAUUUGGAGAAGAACCCGAGAGAUUUUCUUUGCUUGAGUUCUAAAGGUUGUUUCAUGCAACCCUUGUCCUUCUUGAGUAGGGGAGAAAGGAGAGGAAUAAUACGUAGUGAUGCC